CACUAGAUGUUCCAAAAUCUUUUCUACCCAUGCCAAGCCACUGACUACCUUUCUCCAUCCCAAGUUUGUAACUGCUAAUAAAGCAAAGAGAAGUCUCUAGCUUUAGAGAGAUGGAGUACAUAAAGGUUUCUACUGUGUCACAUGAGACAUACGUGGAAUGGGCACCCUUGAAUCUGGUCAAUGUAAGGAAAGAUGUUUAACAGGUAAGCCAUGGCACAUCACAAUGACAUAAUCAGUAGGCCCUCCCUGAAACAUCUAUUGAAACCUGGAGAGGACUAGCUUCUUCUGUGAUGUCACAAGUGUUGUCGUGACUGCAACUCCCUUCAGAUAUCCCCUCAGUACCUCUAGUGUUUACUAAUUUAACUCUAAUCGAGAGUAAACAGUCAUUGUGGAGUGAGAAGGAAGAGGAUGAUGAGAUCAGAGAUGGGAAGAAGGAAGGUGGUCUUCUGUCUUGUUAUAAAAAAAGGAUGAAAUACAUGGUACUUCGGAAAGCUCAAAAAACUCUCAAAACUCAUCCUGGCUGACAAUGUAGAUUAGACGCAUCAGAUGAAAUGAAUUGAAAAACUCUCCUGGGAAUGAAAGUGGUAAGGAAAUCACAUUGAUGUAUCCUAAAUGCAGUGCUAAGAGCAAUAUUCAGACUAGUCUGUGGAGAUGCUGCUGUCAUCAGAGACCACAGACAAUUAGUGGAGAAUGAUUCAGCAUUAAACUGGGAAUGGAAGAUGAUGGUUGAUAUUGUUCUAGUAGAUCUCACUACAUUAAAAAGUGUUUCUUCCAGAUAACUGAAUGAUUAUUGUAAAGCAAAUCCCGGAAUGAACUUAUGAGACCCACCAUCAGCCUGUCAAAUAAUGUGCGAAAGAAGAAAUCUGUGUCUCUCCAGGGACAAAUUGUUGCUUUCAAACCAACAGUAAAGUGUCCAUUCUAUGAAUGAUACAUUGAUAUAUACACAUUAUAGAAGGAUGGAUACAGAGUUUCUUCAGGUCCAUGAAUGAGGUAUUCAGCAGUUGACCUGGAUCAGAAAUGAAGGUAAUUUUUGCCAACUCUUCAGACUUGAGCUCAUUCACUAGGAUCCCCAUGAUUGAAGAAAAGAACAAACUUCAGACAACUUGUCUCAGAUUUUUAUAUAGUUAAGAUUUCCUGGUCUUGGUCCUAGGAAGGAAGGAUAUCUUGCUUUCCAAUUCUUGUUUAUCCUAUAAUCCUCUCUGCUGCAUUCAUGCAAAUAGAUUACUGUGCAUUUCUUUAAUAGGUUACAAUUGCUAUUUUAAUUAUGUUGCCAAGAACUAUAGAAAAAAAGAAGGACUGUAUCAAAGCAUCAUAUGAAAAUCCGACUAAGGUAAUGUGGCCAUUGGAAAUUUGUAACUGACCUGAAACUCUUACUAGAGACAAAAUGCCAUAAAAGGUCUUCUCUAGAUAUCUGGUGUAGUAGUUGGUGUUCCCCAACAGACAGUAAAGGAUGAAUCUCUCUGUACAGAGAAAUCGGACUAGUCACAAUGAUCACAGACUAUGGAACACAUAAUUUAACAAUGACUGACUAUUUUUAAAGUCCUAGAAUCCAUUAGUUUAUUAGUCCAAAAGGCAAGAUGUCUUAUCUGGUCAUUGACAUAUGGAUAAAUAUUCAGUAUGCAGGUUCUAAUGUCUAUGAGGAUUUGGUAUCACUGUGAGUGCAAAAAUGAAAAAGUAAAGGCUUCUUUCUUCCAUGUUUUCUACGGGGAUUCAAAUAGAAUGCAUGGUUUAGAAUACAUUGGGUUUGCCAUUCUCAAACAGACCAAUAUCUUCAACUGAACAUUCUUUUCUUGGAAGCUGCACCCUGUCAGCAUGGCUCACGUGUAUGUGAACUGCAAGAUCUAGUCUGGGAAGGCGGUCCUGUUCAUCGAUCCAACCUGCCCCUAAUACUGAAAUACCCAAGACUUCCUCAAUCAACUCCUUUGCAAACAUGGUCUUCUGGGAUUUGAAGACAUUACAUCUACUAACAACACCAAUGCAAUUCAAGAUUACUUUCAACAGCUCCCUGGAGUGAGCAUUGUUCCUUGGGUCCUUAUAUGUAGAGAAAGACUGCAUAGGCAGGCACAGUGAUCUAAUCUACCUGCAACAGAAUGAAGAGAUGAUGAUGUGGCUGAAGCAGAUUGGAGCUCUGCAUUUAUUAAAGGGAUGGCAGUAAAAGCCCAUGCUGACAGCAGACAUUCAGACAUGCUGAAGCCAUGCUGAGACUUGAUGUUUGUCACAGAUGAUGUCAGUAUUUUCUUAUGACUGGGAUUUUCAACAAAUUGGCUUUCAUUCUAUUCCUCAUUCCAAAAAAUCUUUUGCUGUAGGCCUCAAACCAUGGGGCAGGGAAACUUAAGAGACAACAGAGGAUUGAUAAUCCAGUCUUCAUUCACUGACUUGUCUCUACCUCUAAGUCCAUGUUUCACAAUCCAGUGCAUUUAAAUCUCCAGGGAAUCAGUUACUGUUUCUCUACCAUGCUGGUCUGCUGAAGUCAUUUUACAGAAGUCCACUUCCAAGUAAUUAUUAAAGCAAUGAAUAUUUUGAAGUUGUUUAUGAUCUACACACAGGCUUUUUACGCCCCAAGCAUGUACCAUCCCACUUCUGCAUUUGCAGCUCUCAGCCAGUGUUCUCGACCUAUCCAUCCAGCAACCCUUAGAUUCCACACUUUGUAUGAGGAUAAUAUUUGAAAAAACAGAAGAAUAGCUGUAGCAUAGUUGUUCUUCACUGUAGCCAUAUUAACACAGACGGCAGAGCAUAUGAUGCAUUCAUCUCUGUUUGUAGUGUUUAAUUCCCCGUAAAGUCCCAAACAAUUGAGAGUUGAUUCUGUCAGAGUACCAGCAAAGUCAAAAAGGAAAUGCAAAAUUUCAGAAUUCUCCUUCCAAAGAUGUUUUGAAAGAAGUUGUUUGCAAAACACUGUCUUAAUAAAUUUAUUCCAUUCUCACUUUGAUAUUUUGCUUUGAUGUCUUGAAGUGAUGUUUAAUUAUCACUGAAAUGCAGGUCCCCUCUAUAGUCUCCAGUAUGAAGAAUUCAUUCCUCAAAAGGAUGUAUCUGCAGAUGCCUGAAAAAAUAAUAGAAAGAAUAUUUCUUGAUAAAGAUCUAGGUUAAUGUUGAAACAUCCUACCACAAAGAUACAUAUAAGAAGUUCAUUUGACAUUGACCUUAUGUUAUGCAGAAAUUCUUCACAUAUUCCCUCUAUCGUUGGGGUUUAAUUAAUCUCCAAUGAAUAGUUGACAAUGAAGAGUAGCCUUUAGAAUCAUUUUACCCUUUUCAGUAAUAGUUUUAAGCAAAUGGAACACUAAAAGAUCACAAAGAAGAAAUGGUUAUAAUCAAAAGAUACAUGUGGGACAGUCUAACUCUCAUGGUCAAGAUGACUUUGCACAUGCUCCUUAUGGUCAUGGAUUGCUCUCAUAAUACUCUGCAGAAGGUAAUUCCUACUGCCUCACUUUAAGGUCCAGGAAUUCCAAGCUACCAGAGCUGUUCAAGUUCCCUUACAAUGCACUUGAAAGCCACAUAUGCUUAGGAACUUUUGAUGUGCUUUAGCUCUAUUGUCAGGUUUUUUUAAGCCUUUACCAAAUAGCAAGCUGUCCUUUUUACCCCCUUCUCAACACCUCUAAAUCUGCCCUAACUCAAUUUGUCAAUUGACAUUAGUCAUAGCUCAGCACCCCAAAUAUGCACUCAUCUUACUGUGUUUCUAACAUCCUGCCUGCUACACCAAUGGCCACUCCAUACUAGAUCUCACAUGACUGGUAACUCUUGCUCCACCCUAAAUCCUUUCUCCACCCUUGUGUCUACUAGCCUGUUGGUAGAAAUCCACACAACUGAUUGGCCAAGAGCAUCUUUAUUGAACUAUACAGAAUCAAUUUGGGAACAGGACCUUCAGUGUUCGCAGGAUGAUUCCCGAUCUAAGAAUCAAAACGAUAGCAAACAAGACUCAAUCCAUGUCUCUGGUUUUGGGACGGAGAUAGAGCACUUAGAUUCAGAGUUGAAAUUUAAAUAAUUAUAAUAUAUAUGUAGUAUUAAUUAUGCCAGGAUAAAAGGAUCCAAAAAGUGGAAAUGGGCAACAUUAAAGGCAAGAGAAAAAUCCCUAGUACAGCAAACAAUGUGGACCUGUUAGAAAGACUGGUCUCUUUCCAGCCAUCUGAAUUUGUACUUGAAAUUCUUCUAACCACUCUUGAUCUCUGCAUGUAGAAAAGAACAAAAAGAAAAAGAAAACACAAUAAAACAAAAAAUCAUUAAAAUGAAACCAAAAGCAAAAGAAAUAGCUAAUCAACCCAAUCCUAAAAGAAGAGGACCGAGUGAAGAUUGCUUGAGGUCCUCAUUUUUAACUACAACUACAAGUCACCAAUAGCUUUCAAUGCAAAAGUUUGUCAUUAUUUUAUUUGAAACUUCUCUGUGGGUCAAAGAAACAAGGUUUAUAAGCUGCAACAACAGGAAAGAGAAAAAAAUCAUACUGUAGAGCUCAACACUGAUAUUACUAUGGUGACUGUGGGCAAUGCAGAGAAUAUUGGUGUUUGACAAUGGGUCUUGUGGUUUUCUAUAUGCUGGCAAUAUCUAUGACUCUGAAAUGAAUUAGAGUCAUCACCAAAUCAUCACUAAAUGAACUGCUCCUUUCUUUGGAGCACAAGAUCUGGCAAACUGUUGACUGACUAUGAUUUUUAACUUGGAUCUAGGCUCUGUGGUAAAGCUAAGGCUUCUGAUGGAAAAUCCUCCACCAAAAUACUGGACUAUCAAUUGUGCUGCCAGCCAAAAACCAAGUCCUGACUCUACCCUGCAAUCCAGAAGAGGUUUCAAAGUGUCAAACAUAACAAUAUUUUAAUUGUGGCUUUGUCUUUUUUUCACUUUUUAUUUUAAAUAAAGUGUGAUUUCUGGCAUAA